rnacentral:sRNA from 1 species
UCUGACCUUUAUACACACUCAGAAACACAUGUUGUGGCACACACACAACAAAUAAAAGCAGGAAAAAUAUACUUAAGCGUAUAAUUUAACACGACACUCUUGCAUUCAAUAGCUCGAAAUAAGGGGUAGGAAGUGGAACAUUAAACUUUAAUAUAUUUAAAGCUAAUAAUUAGCCCUGGGUUCUUUCUGCGCCACCUCCUUCCAUGCAAAAGCCAUUUCUUCUCUUUGAUUGUUUACCGGAAGCCGUGGUGAUGCUCGUAUUUUCUUCAGGAAGUCUUCCCACAAUCCUCUUCGAGAUCUCGCUCGAUUCUCUCCUCUCAGAACUAGUGGAUCUCUUACAGUUCACCGGGUUAAAGUGAUAGAAUUGGAGCACGUAAGAGCAAACGCUGCCCACACCGGGGUUACCUUGGAUUUGCAGGAGGCAGACACCCAACACGAAGUGAGGUGCAUUUUGGUGUUGUUCCACCAAACUAUGAGCAAAUAAAUGUAUCCUGGUUUUUAAAUCUUU